CUGCCCGGUAGCUAAAUGCGGAAGAGAUAAGUGCUGAAAGCAUCUAAGCACGAAACUUGCCCCGAGAUGAGUUCUCCCUGAGACUUUAAGUCUCCUGAAGGAACGUUGAAGACGACGACGUUGAUAGGCCGGGUGUGUAAGCGCAGCGAUGCGUUGAGCUAACCGGUACUAAUGAACCGUGAGGCUUAACCUU
rnacentral:rRNA from 1 species